rnacentral:rRNA from 1 species
UACAGAGGAGCCAAGCGUUGUCCGGAUUGACUGGGCGUAAAGCGCACGCAGGCGGUCGCGCGCGUGGGGUGUGAAAUCUGGCCGCUUAACGGCCAGGCGCCAUCCCAUACGGCACGACUGGAGUGAUGCAGAGGUCGAUGGAAUUGCCGGUGUAGCAGUGAAAUGCGUAGAGAUGCGGAGGAACACCGAUGGCGAAGGCAGCCCCCUGGGCUGACACUGACGCUCAGGCACGAAAGCGUGGGGAGCAAACAGG